rnacentral:lncRNA from 1 species
GUUUGGUUUUUUUUUGUUUUUUUUUUUGUUUCGGUAAAAUGUUCGUAUAAAAUAUAUAAAAAAAGUCACUCUUGUUUCUAGAAAACAAGUCUGUAAAAUAGCAUAUCAAUUUUUAAAAUAUGGUCUUUGUCAAGUUUACUUAAUAUGCAUUUUGUUUAGCGUUAAAUGUUUGUAAAAAUAUGAAAGAAUCGAAACUCGCUCGCUGCUAUUUUUUCCAGAUAAAAAGUCUGUAAUAUAGCAUAUCAAUUUAAUAUGGUCUUUGUGAAUAAAAUGUUUCUCAAGUUCAAAACUCGUAUUUAUUUCUUUUUGUUUAGCGUAAAAUGUUCGUAGAAUUAUAAUAAAAAAAGACCAAUACUAGCUCGCUCUUCUCGUUUCUGAGACACAAAUCUGUACAAUAGCAUAUCAUUUGGCCUAUGUGAUUUAACGUUUUUAAGUGUACUUUUCAAGUUGUAUUGGUGC